CUGCCACUGAGGCGGGAUGGGGAAGGGCUCAUUCCGAAGAGCGCCGGCCAGAGGACAUUGGCCUGCCCAUCCCUGGGACGGCCCUUGGACAGCGGCCUUGGCCCGGCCCGGCGCCCCGCGGGCUGGCCCAAGCGUCCUAUUGGAGCCCCGCUGCUGCCGCGCGUACGACCCCUAUCCGCAGGCUCCGCUAGGAGGGGAGACAAAGGGAAGUCUCCGAGCCGCUUGCAGUAACUGCGGGCUCCAUAGGAUAACUUGUUUUAAGAUUUAAAAAGCAGCAUCAAACAGGACAAAGUUCCCAUGCCAGCCUCAGGGUCCAAGGACCCUCUGUACCGGGAGCAGAACGAGCAGAGCCAGAGGCACAGGAGACCCGGGGUGCGCUGAACACUCCACCCCUACUCCCGCCGAUGACCUUCCGCACACUAGGCCUAUCCUCAGAGCCUUCCGCGUUGAUCCGCCAGUUUAACCCAGGAUGGAGUCGCGUCGUCUCCUCAAUGGCGGCCUCGGAACUUGCAGAGCGCCAGCGGAUCCUUUUUUACCCCACCCGACCUUUUUCCACAUGGAUGACUUGAAACAGUGGUCCCACUCUUCAGCUUUGCAGAGGACAGAUUGGCCAGCUGCUGCUCUGCCUUUCCUUUAACCCUACAGUUUCCUCAUGACUCUGCAUCCAGGGAAAAGAUGUCCUUGUGCUGGCCAGAUCUGGACACACCUUGAGGCUGUCUUCCACAGGCAAGUGACCAAGUGGACAGUGGUGGACCCCUCAGCAACAUGGGACAGACAUGGACACCUGGGGAUCAGUAGAAGCCAAGUGGAUGUCCCUGGGAAUGCAGUCAAAGGGCCAGGAACCUCUCUUUUCCUCACAAGCAAGUCCACAAGCAUCUCAAAACAAAACUUGGUAAGGUAGUGCUGCUCACAGCCCUCGUGGGGAAACCACAAACCCUCACACAGGAAGGGCCUGGCCGUGUUUACUCCCUCACCUGGCAGGGUGUAGCCCCGAGGUUGGGAGGAAGGCGAGGUCAGGAAAUCAUGUGGUCCUGCAAGCACCCAACGCCCCGUGGCUUCGUGGCAGGAAACCUCGGUGCAGGUGGGAGCGGGCAACAUGACUACGAAACCCAGGGAGUGACUGUGCUGCAGGUGGGUGAGGCAGACCUCUCCAACAACUGUGACAUGGCCUGAUAAUUAGCAUUCUGCUCUAGCUUUCCACCCACUACUCUGGCUUACUUUUUUGUAGUACUGAAGAUUGAAUAAAUUAAACUCUACACUGAGCUAUGUCUCCAGGAUCUCACAAAAUGAUCUGGGCCUUGAAUUUGUGAGCCCCUGGUCAACCUCUCAGCUAGCCAUGACUGCAAGCAUGUGCACUGUACUCAGCCUGUUUACUUAUUUUUAGAAAUUGAUUUAAGGACCCACAACUGCCUAGCAAGUCGUUGGUGUGCUGGAGGGCCCAGCACAUGAAACCCAACCAUUAAAGCAUCAGGAAUUCUGUGAGAUGCUUGUCAAAGAGCCAUUAUUUAGACUCCCAUCUGGCCCAUGCAUGAGCCUGGUCUGAGGCUCUGGUGUUCUCUAGACCCAGGAAGGCUGUGCACAAUGGCCACAUGUCUCUGCCUGGCACUCCCUGCUUUCCUUGGGUCCUCCAAUCCAAGUGAGCUGGCAAGAUGCCCCUUUCAAGUCAGUUCCCCAUCUGACACCUCCUGUGAAGAAUCUGGGGGGCUGCAAGCCCAGAACUGUAACCAGCGCUCAAGUGGGGAGAGUCUUCUCAUAGAAUCCCCCUAGAAUCCUGCCACCUACUCAAAGGUUGUCACAGUAAAGAGCCUUUGGGACAGCCUGGAUCUCAAGGGUCUAGAGCUGGACACAGGGUAUUACCCAUCUGAGAAGGGGAGGUGUGUGGUAGGGGACACAAGGGGUUCCAUGGAGCCCCAGGGCCAGGCAUGGGUGCUGGUCAGUCACCUGAUAAAAUGGCACAUGGGACAGAAGGCAGCACCCAGAGGCCGUGGAGGGGGAGUGUCUUAUGCUCUGUUCAGCCUUGCAUGCAUGGGACUCC